UACGUAGGGGGCAAGCGUUGUCCGGAUUUAUUGGGCGUAAAGAGCGUGUAGGCGGCUGGGUAGGUCCGUUGUGAAAACUCGAGGCUCAACCUCGAGACGCCGAUGGAAACCCCCCAGCUAGAGUCCGGAAGAGGAGAGUGGAAUUCCUGGUGUAGCGGUGAAAUGCGCAGAUAUCAGGAGGAACACCGGUGGCGAAGGCGGAUCUCUGGGCCUUACCUGACGCUCAGGCACGAAAGCUAGGGGAGCGAACAGG
rnacentral:rRNA from 1 species